UGGGGAAUAUUGCACAAUGGGCGCAAGCCUGAUGCAGCCAUGCCGCGUGUAUGAAGAAGGCCUUCGGGUUGUAAAGUACUUUCAGCGAGGAGGAAGGCGUUGUGGUUAAUAACCGCAGCGAUUGACGUUACUCGCAGAAGAAGCACCGGCUAACUCCGUGCCAGCAGCCGCGGUAAUACGGAGGGUGCAAGCGUUAAUCGGAAGUACUGGGUGUAAAGCGCACGCAGGCGGUCUGUCAAGUCGGAUGUGAAAUCCCCGGGCUCAACCUGGGAACUGCAUCCGAAACUGGCAGGCUAGAGUCUUGUAGAGGGGGGUAGAAUUCCAGGUGUAGCGGUGAAAUGCGUAGAGAUCUGGAGGAAUACCGGUGGCGAAGGCGGCCCCCUGGACAAAGACUGACGCUCAGGUGCGAAAGCGUGGGGAGCAAACA
rnacentral:rRNA from 1 species